rnacentral:rRNA from 1 species
GGGUCAGUAGGUUGGUCGUGCCACCGGUACGUACUGGUCUCACUGAUUCCUCCUUCCUGAAGAACUGUAAUGCCAUUAAUUUGGUGUUGCGGGGAAACAGGACUGUUACUUUGAAAAAAUUAGAGUGUUUAAAGCAGGCUAACGCUUGAAUACAUUAGCAUGGAAUAAUGAAAUAGGACGAUCGAUCCUAUUUUGUUGGUUUCUAGGAUUGACGUA